rnacentral:rRNA from 1 species
AGAUUGAACGCUGGCGGCAGGCCUAACACAUGCAAGUCGAGCGGUAGAGAGGUGCUUGCACCUCUUGAGAGCGGCGGACGGGUGAGUAAUGCCUAGGAAUCUGCCUAGUGGUGGGGGAUAACGUUCGGAAACGGACGC